GACGAACCGAGCGAACGUUAUUCGGAAUCACUGGGCUUAAAGGGCGCGUAGGCGGGCCAUCAAGUCAGGGGUGAAAGCCCCCAGCUCAACUGGGGAAGUGCCUUUGAUACUGGUGGUCUCGAGGGGGAUAGGGGCAUGCGGAACUUCCGGUGGAGCGGUGAAAUGCGUAGAUAUCGGAAGGAACACCGGUGGCGAAAGCGGCGUGCUGGGUCCCUUCUGACGCUGAGGCGCGAAAGCCAGGGGAGCGAACGGG
rnacentral:rRNA from 1 species